UCGAUCUGCUGAGGCGAUAUGAAGUGGACGUGCGAGUCAAUGCCACCUGCCGUCACGAUCUUGCCUUCGCCUGCAAUGAUCUCGGUGGACGGACCUAUGAUGGUGUCCACUCCGGACUGUAUGUCCAAAUUGCCAGCCUUGCCGAUAGAGUGGAUCCGUCCGUCUUUGAUGCCUAUAUCUGCCUUGACUACGCCCCAAUGGUCCAGAAUCAGGGCGUUGGUUAUCACUGUGUCCACAGCACCAGCAGCUCGGGUUACCUGAGACUGCCCCAUGCCAUCUCG
rnacentral:sRNA from 1 species